rnacentral:rRNA from 1 species
AAUCCUUCCCCCGGGUCUGGGGGACAACUCCGGGAAACUGGAGCUAAUACCGGAUAAGACCACGAAGUCUGCGGGCUUCGCGGAAAAAGGUGGCCUCUUCUUGAAAGCCAUCGCNUGUUGAUGAGCCCGCGUCCCAUUANCUUGUUGGUGAGGUAACAGCUCACCAAGGCACCGAUGGGUAGCUGGUCUNANAGGAUGAUCAGCCACACUGGAACUGAGACACGGUCCAGACUCCUACGGGAGGCAGCAGUCGGGAAUCUUGUGCAAUGGGGGAAACCCUGACCAGCAACGCCGCGUGAGGGAUGAAGGCCCUANGGUCGUAAACCUCUGUCGGGAGGGAAAAAACCCCAAUGCAAUANUUUUCGGUGUUACGGUCCUCCAANGAACCCCGCUAACUCUCCACACCCNNGUAAUCCGANGGCCANCCUUNUUCGAAUAUUGNCNUAANCCCU